rnacentral:rRNA from 1 species
GGCGUAGGUGGCUUUUCAAGUCGGAUGUGAAAUCUCCCGGCUUAACUGGGAGGGGCCAUUCGAAACUGAGAGGCUCGAGUGCAGCAGAGGGAGAUGGAAUUCCCGGUGUAGUGGUGAAAUGCGUAGAUAUCGGGAAGAACACUAGUGGCGAAGGCGGUCUCCUGGGAUGUAACUGACACUGAGGCCCGAAGGCGUGGGGAGCAAACAGGAUCAGAUACCCUGGUAGUCCACGCAGUAAACGAUGGAUACUAGGUAUGGGGAGUAUCGACCCUCUCCGUGCCGAAGCUAACGCUUUAAGUAUCCCGCCUGGGGAGUACGGUCGCAAGACUAAA